AGCCUUAUAUUCAAUUAUGAUAUAAAAUUGCAAAUUUUAAGGUAUAAAUAUAAAUAUUUAUUAAGGCUU
rnacentral:tRNA from 1 species